rnacentral:rRNA from 1 species
GAUGAACGCUGGCGGCGUGCUUAACACAUGCAAGUCGGACGGACACAUCUUUCGGGGUGUGUUAGUGGCAGACGGGUGCGUAACACGUAGGUAACCUGCCCUGGAGUGGGGAAUAAUUCCGCUAACGCGGGACUAAUACCGCAUAGGCUCGGUAGCGUGAGGCUACUGCGUAAAGCUGAGAGGCGCUUCAGGAUGGGCCUGCGGCGGAUUAGGUAGUUGGUGGGGUAACGGCCUACCAAGCCGAUGAUCCGUAGGGGGCGUGAGAGCGUGGCCCCCCACACUGGCACUGAGAUACGGGCCAGACUCCUACGGGAGGCAGCAGUUGGGAAUUUUCCACAAUGGGCGAAAGCCUGAUGGAGCAACGCCGCGUGCAGGAAGAAUGCCUUCGGGUUGUAAACUGCUUUUAUGUGCGAAGAAUAUGACGGUAGCAUAUGAAUAAGGGUCGGCUAACUACGUGCCAGCAGCCGCGGUAAUCUAUCUACG